rnacentral:rRNA from 1 species
GGCCACUAUUAUUGGGCCUAAAGCGUCCGUAGCUGGCCGAACAGGUCCGUCGGGAAAUCCGCUCGCUCAACGAGCGGACGUCCGGCGGAAACCAGUCGGCUUGGGACCGGAAGACCCGAGGGGUACGUCCGGGGUAGGAGUGAAAUCCUGUAAUCCUGGACGGACCACCGGUGGCGAAAGCGCCUCGGGAGGACGGAUCCGACAGUGAGGGACGAAAGCUUGGGUCACGAACCGGAUUAGAUACCCCCGUAGUCC